rnacentral:rRNA from 1 species
AACAGGAUUAGAUACCCUGGUAGUCCACGCUGUAAACGAUGUCGACUUGGAGGUUGUGCCCUUGAGGCGUGGCUUCCGGAGCUAACGCGUUAAGUCGACCGCCUGGGGAGUACGGCCGCAAGGUUAAAACUCAAAUGAAUUGACGGGGGCCCGCACAAGCGGUGGAGCAUGUGGUUUAAUUCGAUGCAACGCGAAGAACCUUACCUACUCUUGACAUCCAGAGAAUUUGCUAGAGAUAGCUUAGUGCCUUCGGGAACUCUGAGACAGGUGCUGCAUGGCUGUCGUCAGCUCGUGUUGUGAAAUGUUGGGUUAAGUCCCGCAACGAGCGCAACCCUUAUCCUUUGUUGCCAGCACGUAAUGGUGGGAACUCAAAGGAGACUGCCGGUGAUAAACCGGAGGAAGGUGGGGAUGACGUCAAGUCAUCAUGGCCCUUACGAGUAGGGCUACACACGUGCUACAAUGGCAUAUACAAAGAGAAGCGAACUCGCGAGAGCAAGCGGACCUCAUAAAGUAUGUCGUAGUCCGGAUUGGGGUCUGCAACUCGACUCCAUGAAGUCGGAAUCGCUAGUAAUCGUAGAUCAGAAUGCUACGGUGAAUACGUUCCCGGGCCUUGUACACACCGCCCGUCACACCAUGGGAGUGGGUUGCAAAAGAAGUAGGUAGCUUAACCUUCGGGAGGGCGCUUACCACUUUGUGAUUCAUGACUGGGGUGAAGUCGUAACAAGGUAACC